AUGCAAGUCGAGCGGCAAGGGCCUUCGGGCCCCUAGAGCGGCGGACGGGUGAGUAACACGUGGACAAUCUGCCCCCCGGUCCGGGAUAGCCCAGGGAAACCUGGAUUAAUACCGGAUGCGAGCGCGAGCACACAGGUGUUUGCGGGGAAAGGCGCUUCGGCGCCGCCGGGGGAUGAGUCCGCGGCCCAUUAGCUAGACGGCGGGGUAAAGGCCCACCGUGGCGACGAUGGGUAGCCGGCCUGAGAGGGUGAUCGGCCACAUUGGAACUGAGACACGGUCCAGACUCCUACGGGAGGCAGCAGCUAAGAAUCUUCCGCAAUGGGCGAAAGCCUGACGGAGCGACGCCGCGUGAACGAUGAAGGCCGUGAGGUUGUAAAGUUCUUUUCGGGAGGAGGAAUAAGCGGGGCAGGAAAUGGCCUUGCGAUGACGUGAAUCCCGGAAUAAGCCCCGGCUAACUACGUGCCAGCAGCCGCGGUAACACGUAGGGGGCGAGCGUUGUUCGGAAUCAUUGGGCGUAAAGGGCGUGCAGGCGGCCCUGCAAGUCCGGCGUGAAAUGCCCCGGCUCAACCGGGGAGACGCGCUGGAAACUGCGGGGCUGGAGUACAGGAGGGGAUGCCGGAAUUCCAGGUGUAGGGGUGAAAUCUGUAGAUAUCUGGAGGAACACCAAUGGCGAAGGCAGGCAUCUGGCCAUGUACUGACGCUGAGACGCGAAGGUGCGG
rnacentral:rRNA from 1 species